rnacentral:misc_RNA from 1 species
CAGAAGUGUGUAAUUUUAUGCUUGUGAUCUCUAUUUUUGUGGUGCUUCACUCUUUAUAUUUAUUUUUCACUUUUGUCCUUGCUUCUGCAUGUCAGGUCUUCAGCAGUACCCAAGAAGGUAGAUAUUCUCGAGGGCAUGCAUGUUAUUGGGUGAGAAAUAUAUUAUAUUUAUUCUAUUUCAAAAUAUCCAUGCAUUGCCAUAUACUACAAUUUUAUCUGUGGAAUUUGAUGAUGCAUACUUCUGUUUCAGUGUUGCAUGUGGUAUGGGACAA